GCACGCCGUGCUCCUUUCCCCCUCGCUUCCCGCCUGAGGGGGCGCGGCGGCCAUUUUGUCGCGGCUGCUGGGGCGAGAGCGGCGCGUGAGGGGCCGAGGCCGCCGCGCUUCUGCCGUCCCGGGCAGGGGCCCUCGGUAGCUGGGCUGGUGGAGGGCUGGGAGCGAAGUGACCCUGCCAGAGUAAUGCCCGGAGCCCUGCGCGAAUCGGGCUCAAACCUUGUCUGUGAUGCACUCCAGUUUAAAUACAAAUGGCCAUUUUACUUGGAAUUGACUAAAACUGUGGACGCUGUCGUAUUUAGGAGCAGGACCCUUAUUAUUGUGAGCUUUAGAUGUGGCUGUUGAUGGACAUUUGUAUAUUAAAAUUAGGGAGAACUCAAACGCAUUUUAUUAGCUUGGUUUCAAUCCAGUUUAGGUCAAACCAGGACAGUUUCCUUGUGGAGGGAAAGGCAUACUCUUUUUAGUCCCAAAACUUAAAAGUGGCUUAAUGACAGAAAAUCCGUCGAUGUCGCAGCUGGGUGCACUCAGGCUGGAAAUAACAUUAACUGUUGGGAGUUACCAUCACCCAGGGACACAGUUGGCCUUUUGCCCCGGCUGCAAGAGUGAAGCAAGAUGCCGAUCCCGUCUCCCGAAUUGCAGGAGAAAGCCCCUGGGGAUGGUAUUUUAAUUGGUCAAUGGCAACGUGUCUUUUGCAUCUGUUUUGCUUUUUAUGUCAACCAAGGUGACACAAAGCAUUUAAGCAACUCAGAUUUAUUGAUUUCCUAUCCCAAGAGAAGCAAACAAGCUGCACUAAGAGCAAGAAAUACUGCUCGAGGACUGAGUAACAGCAGACACCGGCAGACGGACAUGGGGAAAAGCAGGACCAGAUGGCUGGUGUCACUGGCAAGCUGCUGCCUGGCUGGACGCAGCGAGGUGGUGCUUCCUUUUGGCCAUUCCUGGCCAAAAAACAGGCAGAAAGACACUAACUCUCAGCGUGAAGCCACAACACGUGGCACCACCACUUACGGCAGUGGUUAUUCACCUCCCUUGUAAAACACCUUUUGAGUUCAGUUAUCAGUUUCGGCCACCAAGCCUCACUUAGCUUUUUUCCGCAAGAUUAUACAGCCCUAGCAUUUUCUGCCUGGGAAGGUACUAGUGCCACGUAAUCAAUUUACCUCUUGCCCUUGCUCUGAUAAGAUAAGUAACUUUAAGUUUUCCAGGCUCUGGCUGCUAGCCCUUCCCUCCUCCAGUCACUCCAAGGCUCUUCCAUGUGCUUUCCUGCAGCCCUUUGGAGGUGCGGGAUGGUGGAAGCCUGUGAAAUUGAUUAACUCCGAGACGUGAGAUUACACAGAGCAAAGAUAACCCAGGAACAAAGAAAGGAAAGGAGCAGAGGAAAAUACAAGCCAGGUAUCAGGGCAGUAUGCGAGGAAGGGAAAGAGAGCCCUCGUUCCCAGAAGCUAGACCAAGCACCAGUGCAGGUGACAAAUGAGCCGCUCAUCUCUGUGGGGAUCCCGAUUUGGCUUCCACCACCUCUGUUGGCACAAACAAAGCAGAAAACAGAUUGCAAGAAAUGGACCGAGCACAAUACGAGCCCACACCUGGCAGCACCGUGCCCGGUGGCCUCGGGCCUGCACGCACGGACACCGGCAUGCUGGACCCGCUCAGCAGCGCCUCAACACACGCUCGCCACUGGCAACAGCCUCUCGCCAAUAAAAGAACGUUCACAAAAAAAGUCACGUGUCUCACAUAGGUGUUUAGUU